rnacentral:lncRNA from 1 species
GAAGAGGAAAUGUGUCAAUGACAUCUUCCUUAAUGACAAUAUUUUUUAUUAUCAUAAGACUGCUCCACAUGUACCCCUCCCCCCACCCCAUGCCUUCUGUUAAGGAAUCACCCACUCCUAGCACCGAGAGAGGGUAGGUCUCUGGUGAGACUGCCAUAGGGAAACUGCACAGUUGUUUGGGGGCAGUUUUUCUCUCAGUGGAUUCAGAGUGUGCGGCUACAUGACUUCACCAGCGAUGACAGAAUUCCAGCCCUUUCCUCUACCACCCGAAGGACAGCAUACCUAUCAUGCCAGAAGUGGGUCACCUGAAAUUAUCCCCAAAAGAAGAAGGACUCUUCAAUUUUGUUUUGGUCUCUUCAUACAAAUGCUUUCAUUUGCAAAUGCGGCACUCAUUUGCAUAUAUAACACUCAUUUGCAUAUAUGGGGAGCUAAGGUAAGAUGGAUCGACUUGGUUCUGUUCCUCAAGUGUACGGUCCAUACACCGUCAUCAAAAGCUCAUUUUUAGAUGUCUGUCCCAGGAAUGAUUUGGGUCCUGUAAAUCCAAGGCUUGACCUCCAAUCUCUCUAGAAAAGCUGAAAACUAUUGUUAAAUUUAAGAAGGGGCUUAAUUUCUUUUCCUGUCUGAAAACGCUAACAUUCUGGAUCAAUCCUAUGGUGAUCAUUUUACUCACCUCAGUGCCCCUCACCCACGGAGCCUCAAAACAUGUGUGGGAAAUGCCAGCCUCUGAUUUCAUUUAUAAAAUCCAACCUUGACCCCAAAGCUGUGAUAGCGGGAGAUGCCAGACGCUCAGGGUUAGUUACUGAACUUCAGGAGAGCUGUCCAGUCACAUAAAUCCUGACUCUUAAACAACAGCCUCUUCUGGGAGUAAAGAUCAAAAUAGCACGCUGAUGACGCAACCCCCUGAGUGAACGAAACCAGACUUCACGGUGGAGAGGAAUUUUAAAGGAAACCACAGAAUGUUCUGGAGCCCUUUGUCCACUUUCGAAUGGUAGCUUUCAGGUUUCCCUUGGUAAUCACACAAGGGCUCAGAAGUCGCUCAGGAGACAUGAUGACCCUCUACUAACCAUCCUCUAAAGCUCUCCCAACAAGACCUGAGACAAGGACUGUCAGGAAAGGGAGAGAGGGGGAAACUGCACACAAGGAUCCACCUGGAAUAAUCAGAAUAGGAGUCUCAUUCCUGGUAUCUCUCGGAGACUGGUAAUGGUGGGGAAGUGGAAGAAAAUAAAUGAGAUUCCUGGAGUCAUCUCAGGGUGGGUACCCCUGACUAUCCAUUCACCAGUCCUGCAUCCAGGGGAAAAAAAAAACAACAUGAAUUUGUUGGAUCUUAAGGACAUCACACCAGUAGCUGGUAUCUGCAAGACAGAAGUUCAGGUGACUCUCAUCACCUUCCCGACACCUGCUGCACUGAGCGACCUCUGCUUCAUCUGCCUUGUGAACUAGGGAUGCAAGUGUUAAUUGUCAAGUCAAGACUCCUGGGGGUGUGAGAAGAGGAAGCCUCAGGUCUUGUUCUCCACCACCCUUGAUAGAGGCCCCAUUCUCCAGGGGACCAUUGUAAUAAACCCUUAGAAAGCCCUGUGGAUGUAGACCAGUG